CCCUUAGAUGUUCUGGGCCGCACGCGCGCUACACUGAUGCAUUCAACGAGCACCCGCUGGGCCGAGAGGUCCGGCUAAUCUUUGAACGUGCAUCGUGCUGGGGAUAGAUGAUUGCAAUUAUUCAUCUUCAACGAGGAAUUCCUAGUAAACGCAAGCCAUCAGCUUGCAUUGAUUACGUCCCUGCCCUUUGUACACACCGCCCGUCGCACCUACCGAUUGAAUGGUCCGGUGAAAUUCUCGGACGCGGACUUGCGAUGUUAAUUCGGAGCUUGACUGUGAAAGUUAAUUAAACCUUACCAUUUAGAGGAAGGUGAAGUCGUAACA
rnacentral:rRNA from 1 species